CCUACGGGAGGCAGCAGUGGGGAAUAUUGGACAAUGGGCGAAAGCCUGAUCCAGCAAUGCCGCGUGAGUGAUGAAGGCCUUCGGGUCGUAAAGCUCUUUUACCAGGGAUGAUAAUGACAGUACCUGGAGAAUAAGCUCCGGCUAACUCCGUGCCAGCAGCCGCGGUAAUACGGAGGGAGCUAGCGUUGUUCGGAAUUACUGGGCGUAAAGAGUACGUAGGCGGUUAUUCAAGUCAGAGGUGAAAGCCCGGGGCUCAACCCCGGAACUGCCUUUGAAACUAGAUAACUAGAGUCUUGGAGAGGUUAGUGGAAUUCCGAGUGUAGAGGUGAAAUUCGUAGAUAUUCGGAAGAACACCAGUGGCGAAGGCGACUAACUGGACAAGUACUGACGCUGAGGUACGAAAGCGUGGGGAGCAAACAGGAUUAGAUACCCUGGUAGUCCACGCCGUAAACGAUGAUAACUAGUUGUUCGGUCACUUGGUGACUGAGUGACGCAGCUAACGCAUUAAGUUAUCCGCCUGGGGAGUACGGUCGCAAGAUUAAAACUCAAAGAUAGUAGGCGNGNGAGUAGCGACGAGACACACGGAGGUAGG
rnacentral:rRNA from 1 species